rnacentral:rRNA from 1 species
UGGCGGACGGGUGAGUAACGCGUGGGUAACCUGCCUCAUACAGGGGGAUAACAGUUGGAAACGACUGCUAAUACCGCAUAAGCGCACAGGAUUGCAUGAUCCGGUGUGAAAAACUCCGGUGGUAUAAGAUGGACCCGCGUUGGAUUAGCUAGUUGGCAGGGUAACGGCCUACCAAGGCGACGAUCCAUAGCCGGCCUGAGAGGGUGAACGGCCACAUUGGGACUGAGACACGGCCCAGACUCCUACGGGAGGCAGCAUG